ensembl:lncRNA
CGAUGCCAGGAGGCCGCCGCUGAAAACUCACUCAUUUCACUGUCAUGGCGUCUCCCGUUGAUAACCUUAUAUUUUCUCCACUGAUGAAUGAGACUUCUUAAAUAUUCCAGCUGACCACAGCGUGUCGGGAUGACUUGGAUGUUAAACUCGCAGACAUGUCAAUGGUAGUCAAUUGAUCCAUCACGUUGCGGAGGGCCACUGGGCUUAGAGAAGGCCAAAGCGGCUUGAUCCUCCUCAAAUCCAAAGCAAACAGGCACAACAUGGCCGCCCUGAUGCGCCGCAGCCUCGGGGCCUGAAAACAGGAGUUCCCCUGAGCAGCUAUCAAAAGCUUUGCUUCCCGCCAAGUGCAAAGGCCUCACGAUCCCCUGGAGUCUCAGAGGGCGAGGAAGACACGACCGGAGUCAACAACCUUCGUCUGUCCUUUUCAAGACCUUUACCCGCUCAGAGCAAAGCGUCUCAAUGAAUCCAGAACUUUCACUGUAAAUAUACAUAUUGAAGCCAUUACUCGAGGAGUUUGGAUGAGUCAAACGAUGAAGAAUGGCAUUACUCGAGCAGCAAAAAAGACAAGUCUUUCUUUUGAAGACGAUACUCCGUCUCCGGUUGUCGGUUGUGUUUUGCUUCCCUGAAAACAUGCACUUCAGAGAAGGUCUGUGAAUGACUCCAACAGCUGAAGGUCUCUGCAGAUGUGAGACUUUGUCGCUGUGGAUAAUGUCAGCGACUCGUAAACGCCUUCCCGAGACCGGGAAAUUGAAUCUAUAGUCACUCCCUCGCAUUCUCAGGGGUUCAUCCCUUGACCUUCACAACCCCAAGAAAGUCUUCAGAUAUCAACGCGCGCUGGGAAGGCCACCAGGAUGUUUGCGUCAUAACAGCGAAAUGUUAUUCAUAUUAAUUUCACGUCACGGCUUCAUCUUUUACUGCUGUCGUUAAUAGAAAUAUAUUUUUUAUUAAAAUUGACAUUGUAUCAGGUGGUCAUAUUGCUGAAACUGUUGGUUUGUUCUCUUAAAAUCAAUGUCAAUCAAAUGUUUGGAAAUGCUAAAAAACGGAAACAAUCUUUGCUUCAUUAUUUUAAAACACAACUAAGCGCUUGAAUUGGAACCGGUAUUUGGUCUUGUUAUUUUGGUCAUAUUAAUGGUUCAUCUGCCCUAAUAAUUAAUUCAUUAGUGGUCAACAAAUACAAAGUGCUUGUAUGAUUACAGUAUUUAAAUAUAAGCCAGUCCAAUAAAGGAACAUGAUAAUAUCAC